GACGAACGCUGGCGGCGUGCUUAAUACAUGCAAGUCGAGCGGCGCGGCGAACGGGUGAGUAACGCGUGAGUAACUGCCCCCCUCUCUGGGAUAACAGUUGGAAACGGCUGCUAAUACCGGAUAGUGGGGGAUGACUCGCGUCCAAUCAGCUUGUUGGUGGGGUAGUGGCCGCCCAAGGCGACGACGGGUAGCCGGCCCGAGAGGGCGACCGGCGACCAUGGGCUGAGAGACGGCGCAAAAUCCUACGGGAGGCAGCAGUGGGGAAUAUUGCACAAUGGGGGAAACCGUGAUGCAGCAACGCCGCGUGCGGGAUGACGGCCUUCGGGUUGUAAACCGCUUUCAGCCAUGACGCGGUAGUGGCAGAAGAAGCACCGGCUAACUACGUGCCAGCAGCCGCGGUAAUUC
rnacentral:rRNA from 1 species